rnacentral:rRNA from 1 species
CCUACGGGUGGCAGCAGUGAGGAAUAUUGGUCAAUGGGCGCGAGCCUGAACCAGCCAAGUCGCGUGAGGGAAGACGGUCCUAUGGAUUGUAAACCUCUUUUGUCGGGGAGCAAAAGACGCCACGCGUGGCGUUCCGAGAGUACCCGACGAAAAAGCAUCGGCUAACUCCGUGCCAGCAGCCGCGGUAAUACGGAGGAUGCGAGCGUUAUCCGUAUUUAUUGGGUUUAAAGGGUGCGCAGGCGGACGAUCAAGUCAGCGGUAAAAUUGAGAGGCUCAACCUCUUCGAGCCGUUGAAACUGGUGUUCUUGAGUGAGCGAGAAGUAUGCGGAAUGCGUGGUGUAGCGGUGAAAUGCAUAGAUAUCACGCAGAACUCCGAUUGCGAAGGCAGCAUACCGGCGCUCAACUGACGCUCAUGCACGAAAGUGUGGGUAUCGAACAGGAUUAGAUACCCGGGUAGUC